CUCACGAUCUCUCUCUCAAUCUCAUCUUCUCCCUCUUUUAUCUCCCCUUUAUUUCAUUCUCUAUCGUUCUCUCGCAGCUCCCUCAUCCCCUCUCUUUCCUUCUCCCCCCAUCUGGUUUCCCCCUCAGCCCUCCCCUUUCCCUCCCCUUUCCUUCCCCGUCCAUCUAGUUUCUCCCUCAGCCCCUUCUUUCUUUCUUUCUGGUUUCUCCCUUAGCCUCCUCCCUCCCUCUUUCUCUCUCUCUCUGUCUUCAUAAAUGGGUUUAAUCGAUUUGUCUCGCUGCCGGCAUCUCCACUUAAGAUCUGCCUCACCGCAAGCAUCUCCACUUCAAAUCUGCCUCACUGAUCUGGGAGCACUACACUGCUUCUUUGGAGUUGAAGUUAAAUACACAUUGUCGCUACGGGUUUGCAACGUGGAGCGGCCGACUUUUUUCUGAGAGGAGAAAAAUGGAGUCGCCACCAGUCUUUAUUUAUAGGGUGUGACUGGCCACCCAUAUGCAUGGAUAAGUUGGUCUGCACGAAAAAGAUAUGGGUUCGGGGUCUUUUGUGUAUGGGGAACGUAUUAGCACCCCACAACACUCGUUCAAUGAAUGAUAAUUUGUUUUUCAUAUUGUUUUCAA